rnacentral:rRNA from 1 species
GGGCCCGCACAAGCGGAGGAACAUGUGGUUUAAUUCGAUGAUACGCGAGGAACCUUACCCGGGUUUGAACGCAUUUUGACGAAUCGGGAAACCGGUUUUCUAGCAAUAGCAAUUUGCGAGGUGCUGCAUGGUUGUCGUCAGCUCGUGCCGUGAGGUGUCGGCUUAAGUGCCAUAACGAGCGCAACCCUUAUCAUUAGUUACCAGCAUUUAAGGUGGGGACUCUAAUGAGACUGCCAGCGUAAGCUGUGAGGAAGGUGGGGAUGACGUCAAAUCAGCACGGCCCUUACAUCCGGGGCGACACACGUGUUACAAUGGAUAGGACAGAGAGCUGCCAACUAGCGAUAGUGAGCUAAUCUUUAAAACCUAUUCUCAGUUCGGAUCGGAGUCUGCAACUCGACUCCGUGAAGCUGGAUUCGCUAGUAAUCGCGCAUCAGCCAUGGCG